AUAGCCCUUCGUUCGGGUACUUGCUAACGGAGGUAGCGGACUAUGUGAAUAAAUUAUUUGAUCCAUUAAAGCAACGCUAGAUGUCACAUGCAGAGAUUCUGUAUUAUGAUUUUAUCGCCGCUUGUGUUGGUGAUGGCGGGUAGCCGGGUAGUGACGUGACAGCGAUUCUGAUGACAAUUCUCAUUCUCAGUGUUUUGGUAAUAAGUUAAACAUUUAACUAUUCAAUUGAUGAAUAGGUUUCCAUAUUGCCGUGACGACCUGUGGACAAGAAAUUGCUGCCACUCAAGUGGUUGUCAUGGACAUCACUUGUGUUGUAAUUUAGGACGAUCUAUGAUUGAUUAGAGUCAGGUUUGCCCCUCGCCGGAUUUAAAUCAGGUUUACUUCUCUGCACUGUGCCAUAAAAAGAAAAUGCUACUGUUACGUAAAUAUUAAUCAUAGCCUACUUCAACACGGCCACUUCUCGUUAUCUUUCUUGGGUCAGCCAGGUUCGGUUAGAUUUUUUGAAAAAAAUGUUUGUGUAGCAUAGCCGAUCUGGAUUUGAUGGACUUACUGAGAUGAAUUGGCCGCGAUUGAAGUAGUCUAUGAUGUAGACAAGUGCAUACUCUGGGCUCCCUUCUUUUCUAUGGCACCGUUUCCUUAAUUAACAACUAACCAACGCCCGCCGGUCGCUGUAAUAACCAGGAGGAGGGGAAGGCUUUAGUCGAACGAGGAAUUGGAAGGCUCACUGAGGAAAACUUUUGGAGGGUCGUGAGUGUAACCAGGAAGCCAAUGACUAAUCCCUCUCUACCAAAAUAUGCCUCGCUCUCUUCUCUCUUCUUCCAUGUCCAGGUAAUCUCCCUGGGCACAGUCUAUCAAGGCAGAGUCUCCCCCUGUCUUGAUUUGCUGGAUUUUUCAAGUGCGAAGUAGAUUGCAAUUCAUAUAAACAGAACUAAACAGAUAAUGGUGAUUUGAAAAAUAAAAACCAUGAAAUUAAGUAAAAAAAAGUAGGAUUGGUAUUAAUACGUGAAUUUACAAUCA